rnacentral:rRNA from 1 species
CGCUGGCGGCGUGCCUUAAUACAUGCAAGUAGAACGCCCAGUUUAUACCGUAGCUUGCUACCACCAUAGACUGUGAGUUGCGAACGGGUGAGUAACGCGUAGGUAACCUGCCUGGUAGCGGGGGAUAACUAUUGGAAACGAUAGCUAAUACCGCAUAAUAUUAAUUAUUGCAUGAUAAUUAAUUGAAAGGUGCAAUUGCACCACUACCAGAUGGACCUGCGUUGUAUUAGCUAGUAGGUGAGGUAACGGCUCACCUAGGCGACGAUACAUAGCCGACCUGAGAGGGUGAUCGGCCACACUGGGACUGAGACACGGCCUAGACUCCUACGGGAGGCAGCAGUAGGGAAUCUUCAGCAAUGGACGAAAGUCUGACCGAGCAACGCCGCGUGAGUGAAGAAGGUUUUCGGAUCGUAAAGCUCUGUUGUAAGAGAAGAACGGGUGUGAGAGUGGAAAGUUCACACUGUGACGGUAUCUUACCAGAAAGG